ensembl:snoRNA
GUUGAGGUCUAUCCCGAUGGGACUCUUUCUGUAGACCCACAUGGUUGGAAACCCCUCUAGAGUGUAUGUGUGGUUUCCUUUGUUCACAGAACUAUGUGUUAGAUCUGGGGGAAGGAACUGCAAGACAUCU